GCCCAGGUGGCGAAAUCGGUAGACGCAAGGGAUUCAAAAUCCCUCGCCGCAAGGCGUGUCGGUUCGAGUCCGACCCUGGGCACCA
rnacentral:tRNA from 1 species